rnacentral:rRNA from 1 species
AGAGUUUGAUCCUGGCUCAGAUUGAACGCUGGCGGCAUGCCUUACACAUGCAAGUCGAACGGUAACGCGGAGCAAUCUGGCGACGAGUGGCGAACGGGUGAGUAAUAUAUCGGAAUGUACCCUAGAGUGGGGGAUAACGUAGCGAAAGUUACGCUAAUACUGCAUACGAUCUGAGGAUGAAAGUGGGGGAUGCGCAAGCACCUCAUGCUCAUGGAGCAGCCGAUAUCUGAUUAGCUAGUUGGUAGGGUAAAGGCCUACCAAGGCUUCGAUCAGUAGUUGGUUUGACAGAACGACCAGCCACACUGGAACUGAGACACGGUCCAGACUCCUACGGGAGGCAGCAGUGGGGAAUUUUGGACAAUGGGCGCAAGCCUGAUCCAGCAAUGCCGCGUGAGUGAAGAAGGCCUUCGGGUUGUAAAGCUCUUUUGUCAGGGAAGAAAAGCUAUCCUCUAAUACAGGGUGGUCAUGACGGUACCUGAAGAAUAAGCACCGGCUAACUACGUGCCAGCAGCCGCGGUAAUACGUAGGGUGCA